rnacentral:rRNA from 1 species
AAUGGCGUAUACAAAGGGAUGCGAAAGGGCGACCUGGAGCAAAACUCAACAAAGUACGUCUCAGUUCAGAUUGGAGUCUGCAACUCGACUCCACGAAGGCGGAAUCGCUAGUAAUCGCGGAUCAGCAUGCCGCGGUGAAUACGUUCCGUCGGGUUU